rnacentral:rRNA from 1 species
UACGAAGGGGGCUAGCGUUGCUCGGAAUUACUGGGCGUAAAGGGAGCGUAGGCGGAUAGUUUAGUCAGAGGUGAAAGCCCAGGGCUCAACCUUGGAAUUGCCUUUGAUACUGGCUAUCUUGAGUACGGAAGAGGUAUGUGGAACUCCGAGUGUAGAGGUGAAAUUCGUAAGAUAUUCGGAAGAACACCAGUGGCGAAGGCGACAUACUGGUCCGUUACUGACGCUGAGGCUCGAAAGCGUGGGGAGCAAA